CAGGCACCCCUAGUGUUGUCACAAAGACCCAGAACCGUGGCCUGCCUCAGUGCCACCCACAUGGGAGCUGUGGUUACCAGUCUGCAGGCAGCUCCGGGAGAGGCUGACAGAGUGGGCCCCCAUGUGGAAGAAAGAAGCUCCAAAAUGAAUCACAACUGGCGGGUCUGACUUCGGGCCUUUGCAGAUGCUGUUCCCCUGCCUGGAGCGCACUUAUCACAAGGUCCAGUCCUCUUCUUCUAGGUCUCAGUUUGAGUAUUGCCUCCUCACCCAUGCCCCUUCUUAUCCCUCCCUUACUCUGUCUCAGGCCCCCAUCCCUGUGGCCGGAAUGUCAAAGGACAAUGACUACUUUGUGGGUUUCCGUAUAGCUCUCCUUUCCCACCCAUUCCCUGGGAUGCUCACUGGGGAAAGAGACCAGGCCUCUCUGCUGAAGCAGCAGUGCCUGGAGCACAGGAGGCCCUCCAUUUAGUGAUGAGGUGAAUAAAGAAUGAAUGACUGCCUGUCCUGUGCCAUCCCAGGGCACACCUCCUUGGUAUGUCACAUAUUUUUUCUUCCAUCUGGAUGCGCCCUCCUCGGUCUGGCUCUUCCUAUUUCUUCACGCUGCAAAAUUCGACCCUGGACACUUUGGGGGCGUCUGUUCCUGAAGAUGCCUCAGCAGCCCCCACACACCUGGGAUGAGUAUCAGCCCAUGCAGAAGAGUCCCCAUGGAAAGGAACUGAGGCCCCAGCUGACAGCCAACAUCGACCACCAGACACGUGAAUGAAUGAGUCCUCGGAUAAUUCCAGCUCCCAGCCUUUGAAUUUUCCAGCUGAGGCCCAGACAUCCUGGAGCAGAGACAGGCCUUCCAUGCUGUGCCCUGUGAAUUCCUGACCCAUGGAAUCCAUGAGCAAAAUAAAUGGUUGUUUUACACCACUCA
rnacentral:lncRNA from 1 species